rnacentral:SRP_RNA from 1 species
GCUGGGCGUGGUGGUGGGCGCCUGUAAUCCCAGCUACUUCGGAAGCUGAGGCAGGAGAAUUGCUUGAACCCAGGAAGUGGAGGUUGCAGUGAGCCAAGAUCAUGCCACUGCACUUCCAGCCUGGGUGACAGAGCAAGACUCCAUCUCAA